ACACUGACGUCGCGACGCAUAUCAAUAAGCGGAGGAAAAGAAACUAACAAGGAUUCCCUUAGUAACGGCGAGUGAAGCGGGAAGAGCUCAAAUUUGAAAUCUUCAAGGUUUUACCUUGACGAAUUGUAGUUUAAAGAAGUGUUUUUUGUUGAAGUUUUGGUAAAAGUUCUUUGGAAUAGGACAUCAUAGAGGGUGAGAAUCCCGUAUUUGACCAUUAUUUUCAGCUGUGUGAUACACUUUCAAAGAGUCGGAUUGUUUGGGAAUGCAGUCCAAAAUGGGUGGUAAAUUUCAUCUAAAGCUAAAUAUUGGCGAGAGACCGAUAGCGAACAAGUACCGUGAGGGAAAGAUGAAAAGAACUUUGAAAAGAGAGUUAAACAGUACGUGAAAUUGUCAAAAGGGAAGCGUUUGACACCAGUGUUGUUUUUCCGAAAAUCAAUUAUAAAUGUUUUGUUUCUGAGGAGUGAUGACUUCAUCGGCUUCCUUCUCUCUUCACGAAACUUUUGUAAUGCACUUUUCGGUUAACAAGUCAACAUCAAUUUCUUUUGUUGUAAAAGAGUAUUCGGAAGGUGGCUUUCUUUUCGGAGAAAGUGUUUAUAGCCCUAUACUUCUACAAUCGGAGAGAUUGAGGUCUGCAGCGUAGAUCCUUCGGGGUUAGAUACACUUGUGCUAAGUUAUAGCUUUUCAUAGACAACUUGUUGACUAUGUUUAGUCUUGUAGCUUACUCGCUUGUGCUAUUUUACCUACGCUUAGGAUGUUGAGUCGUAGAGCACGCAG
rnacentral:rRNA from 1 species